GAUGAACGCUAGCUACAGGCUUAACACAUGCAAGUCGAGGGACCGGCGCACGGGUGAGUACCACGUAUCCAACCUGCCCUUUACUCGGGGAUAGCCUUUCGAAAGACAGAUUAAUACCCGAUAUAAAGGAUGGGGAUGCGUUCCAUUAGGUUGUUGGUGAGGUAACGGCUCACCAAUCCUUCGAUGGAUAGUGGUUCUGAGAGGAAGGUCCCCCACAUUGGAAAUGAGACACGGACCAAACUCCUACGGGAGGCAGGAGUGAGGAAUAGUGGUCAAUGGGCGGUAGCCUGAACCAGCCAAGUAGCGUGAAGGAUGAAGGCUUAUGGGUCGUAAACUUCUUGUAUAUAAGAAGAUGUAUUAUAUGAAUAAGGAUCGGCUAACUCCGUGCCAGCCGCCGCGGUAAUUC
rnacentral:rRNA from 1 species